ACUAAACAUUAGACGUCUUAUGGACGUGCAGAUCAUGUCUAUAUUGCGUCGGUCGGUCCAAGACCAAUUCUGUACGUCUACACGACGUGCAAACUAGGUCCGCUAUUUGGACGUCUAACUAUGACCCCACUUGGACGUCAAUAUGCAGUUAAACAUUUGAACGUCGGACUAGGUCACUUUUUUGGACGUCAUGGGGACGUCUAAUACAGGUGCAGGAAAUUAACAUUAUUUAAGAAUAUAUUUAUUUUUAAAUGUAUGUCAAAAUUGUUGUUAUCAAUAUUGUUAAUCACUAUGAAUAUAGAUUAUUUAUGAUUAAGCAUCAUUUAUUUCUAAUUAUUUAUUUGAGUAUUAUAUUUUUUAUCUAUUUAAUUAAUUAACGAAUGUAGGUAUUUAUUUACGUAUGUUUUUAUUUUUAUUUGGAAAUGCAAUUUAUGUGGAAAAUUGUUAAGUUGAUUUCAACCAGUCAACGCCACUCUGAUUUGCUGAGACCGCACGUCAUCAUAAACUCCACUCUGAUAUGCCGAGGCAAAACACGCUAAACAUUUUUUGGCUGCUGCAGUAGCUCAGCUCAGCUCAGCUCAUUCAGUUCAGCUCGCUCAGCUCAGCUCCGCUCCGGACCGGACUCAGCUGCCAAGCUAUAAGAUGGAGUCAUGAAAUGUGACGGGACAGCCACCGAGGACUUCAUACUUCGGAGCAUCUCAAACAUGCACCACAAAGACGUGGAGGACACACCGCUGUCUCUCAGGACCUAGAAUCUUAAUGAAAGUAUAAUGAUGUUAAGGGAAGGUGUAGUGGAAAGGUGUGAUAGUGUUGAGGGAAGGUGUAAUAGUGUUGAGGGAAGGGGUAAUGUUAAAGGUGUAAUAGUGUUGAGGGAAGGGGUAAUGUUAAAGGUGUAAUAGUGUUGAGGGAAGGUGUAAUGUUAAAGGUGUAAUAGUGUUAAGGGAAGGUAUAAUAUUGUUAAGGGAAGGUGUAAUGCAGGGGUCUCAAACUCAUUUUUGCCGAGGGCCACAUUGACAUAUUGGCUGUCCUCUGAGGGCCAGAUGUAACUUACAAAUAUAAGAAAAUGUAACCAGAUGUAAUAUCAAAUGAAUGUAAUUACUCCUUAAUGUUAAAUAACUCUCAAUAUACUAUUUAUUCAAUCAAAUAUUACAGUUGCAUGGAAAAAUGUUUGCUUGUUGCUCUAUUAACAUAAAUCCUUUUAAUUUGUCAUGUUAUGACAUCCAAAAACUCCAUCAAUCAAGAACCAAACUAUUCAAGUGAAUAGAAAUUACAUCAAGUACAAGUUAUAUUAACUUUGAUCAAAACGUUUGAUACUGAAAUAAGGCUUAAUAAAUAUAAAAUCAAAAAUUGUGAGCUGUGACAGAUUUAGCAGUUCCUCAUCCAACCACUAGUCGGAGCUGCAGCUGCAGCACCACAAGCCGGCAGUCUUUGCUUAGUCAGAGCUACAGCCCAGCCACGGGCUACAGGACUCAGCUGAGCCAGUCUGGAGCGUUUUGAAAAUUUUUAAGUUCUUCUGUGUAUGAAAUAAAAUAACCCCACUAACCGGAUAAUACAGCUCUCUACAGUUCAUCUUUCAGCCCAAGCAGCUAACAGCAGCAGUUUAGAGCAGCGUCACGGAGGCACUGCUGGGAUUACAUUAUAAACAGGUCAGUUAGCGCGCUGCUAACCUCAGGAUGUUUAUAACUACGGAGUUUAGUGGACACACCACGGCUGCAAGGUUAGACUGUUGAAGGCUACUGAAGACUACUAAAGCAGGCAACACAGCGUAAGCAAAAAAAAACAAAAACCACACACACACACCAAAAUACAAGUUAAGAUAAAAUAUGAAAACGAACAUAAUAAAGCAUAAAUAAUUAAAUUGAAUUGCGGGCCAGAUGUAUGUUUAUUUUGUUAACCCGUGAGGGGCCGUAUGAAACCGCGUGGGCCGGUACUUUGAGACCCCUGGUGUAAUGUAAAGGUGUAAUAGUGUUGAGGGAAGGUAUAAUAUUGUUAAGGGAAGGUGUAAUGUUAAAGGUGUAAUAGUUUUGAGGGAAGGUGUAAUAGUGUUGAGGGAAGGUGUAAUGUUAAAGGUGUAAUAGUGUUGAGGGAAGGUAUAAUAUUGUUAAGGGAAGGUGUAAUGUAAAGCUGUAAUAGUUUUAAGGGAAGGUAAAUGUUUUGUGAAAUUGUUAUGGUGUGAAUCUAAGGUGUAUGUUAUGUUGAUGUAAAAUAAAGGCAUUAACCCCAAAUGAGAUUUACUCAUUAUUUUUAUUAUUAUAUUAAUGUUUCCCCAAACAGAAAGGGUCAAUUUAAAAUCAACAGUGGUA